CUGAACUAGGCAAAAUGGCACCGUAACUUCGGGAGAAGGUGCGCCCUUUGGUGUGGUCACGUGCGUGACUGAGCAUCGAAGGGUCGCAGUAACCUGGCCGCUGCGACUGUUUAUCAAAAACACAGCACUCUGCAAACACGAAAGUGGACGUAUAGGGUGUGACGCCUGCCCGGUGCUGGAAGGUUAAUUGAUGGGGUCAGCCGCAAGGCGAAGCUCUUGAUCGAAGCCCCAGUAAACGGCGGCCGUAACCAUAACGGUCCUAAGGUAGCGAAAUUCCUUGUCGGGUAAGUUCCGACCUGCACGAAUGGCGUAACGACAGCGGCGCUGUCUCCACCCGAGACUCAGUGAAAUUGAAAUCGCUGUGAAGAUGCAGCGUUCCCGCGGCAAGACGGAAAGACCCCGUGAACCUUUACUAUAGCUUUACACUGAACGUUGAGUUCUUCUGUGUAGGAUAGGUGGGAGGCUAUGAAACCAGGACGCUAGUUCUGGUGGAGCCAUCCUUGAAAUACCACCCUGAAGUGCUUGACGUUCUAACCUAGGCCCGUAAUCCGGGUCAGGGACCGUGUAUGGUGGGUAGUUUGACUGGGGCGGUCUCCUCCCAAAGAGUAACGGAGGAGCACGAAGGUACGCUCAGCGCGGUCGGACAUCGCGCACUGUGUGCAAAGGCAUAAGCGUGCUUGACUGCGAGAUCGACGGAUCAAGCAGGUACGAAAGUAGGUCUUAGUGAUCCGGUGGUUCUGUAUGGAAGGGCCAUCGCUCAACGGAUAAAAGGUACUCCGGGGAUAACAGGCUGAUACCGCCCAAGAGUUCAUAUCGACGGCGGUGUUUGGCACCUCGAUGUCGGCUCAUCACAUCCUGGGGCUGUAGCCGGUCCCAAGGGUAUGGCUGUUCGCCAUUUAAAGUGGUACGCGAGCUGGGUUCAGAACGUCGUGAGACAGUUCGGUCCCUAUCUGUCGUGGGCGUUGGAGAUUUGAGGGGGGCUGCUCCUAGUACGAGAGGACCGGAGUGGACGUUCCGCUGGUGUUCGGGUUGUCAUGCCCAUGGCAUUGCCCGGUAGCUACGAACGGAAGUGAUAACCGCUGAAAGCAUCUAAGCGGGAAGCACGCCCCAAGAUGAGAUCUCCCGAGAGCUUGACUCUCCUAAAGGCACCAUCAAGACUAGGUGGUUGAUAGGUCAGGUGUGGAAGCGCAGCAAUGCGUUGAGCUAACUGAUACUAAUGAGCCGUGAGGCUUGACCAA
rnacentral:rRNA from 1 species